UUAAAUUCGAACUGUACAUAUUCUAAAAAUGGUAUGAUACAACGAAGACUAGCAUGGCUCCCGCGCAAGGAUGAUUUGCAAAAUCGAGAAGCUUCUUAUAUUUUA